rnacentral:lncRNA from 1 species
UCCACAUCCCCCUGCCUUUUCCGAGAAAAGGACAGUUAGUGCCUGGACCAGGACCAUCACACUGGGGACCGGCUUCUCUGCUCUCCCGUUAUGGGGGUCGGGGGAAUGAUGGGUCAAGGGUCUUCCGAAGAAAGCGAGAAAGGAACAGGCGCCUUCAAAAGCCCACUUGGCGAUGGGUUACAGUAAGAGCGUUGCUCCCUGCUUGGCUGAGCACUGCGGAGUUUCACGCCUCUAAACCCCGCCUCUUCUUGCAACCUGUGUUGGCCUCAUCUACCCAGCAACUGUCGACGUCACACGACCUGGGCCUCCCUGAAUGGGAGAUAUUUACUAGGCAAUCCCGCCUACUGUUCUGAGGUUUCCCCUCCAGGUGCAGCUUCAGAGCCAGGCGAGCCAGGAAGGACCAGCGGGCGAGGUGGAAGUCUGCAUUAUCACGAGGAGCUUGGAAAGGAGGUAACACACUCAAGGCAAAUUUCAAGUAACUCAUCCUGGAGGCAGCUGCCUACUCUGCAGCUGUGGUUCUCCACCACAGAGAGAAGAAAAGGGAGGGAGAUGGAGUGCGCAGGUCUGAGAAGGCUUUCAUUCUGGAGCAUCUGCAGGAGCCUGCACCAUGGCCCAGUAGCACCCCUUUUUCUCCAUGAGCUGCUGGUGGGUUCCCCCCUCCCGGAUAGCGCCUCCUUCCAGAAAGAGGAUGUGGUCAGCCUGCUCCACCAGGCUGAGGUGCUGGGUGAUGAGAAGCACUGAGCGGGAGUACCGCUCAGGGCUUUCGUACAGGAGCUGCUCCACCUGAGGAAAGACAUCGGACCGUCAGAGCCGGGGACUACCCUCAGCCCAGGGAGACACCUGUGUUUCCAGGGCUGGGACUGACCUCACAGGAUCACUGCUGGCUCUGCUAACAACCCCAAGGACACCAACGUUUCCCAUUCUGAGUACUUCUCCGCAAACCCUUUGUUUCAUUAAGGACUGUUUUACAUGAAGGGUGCAAAAGUAGGAUAAAAAUGAGAACCCUAGGGUGAAACACGUGACAGAAGAAUAAAGACUAUUGAAUAGUCCUCUUCUCUACCCAUGGACUUGGCAUUUUUAUAUUCGAUUUUAAGGAAAUAUAACUUAGUAGUAAAGAGAUGAGCAUUCAAGUCAGGCAGACCUGAAUUUGGGUCAAGGCUGCGCCACUCAAAAGCUAUAUGACCUCUAUAUGAGCAGCUUAUUCAACCUCUUUUAACCUCCAUUUUGUCAUCUGUAGAAUGAUGAUAAAUGCCUAGCUCAGAAGGAUUCCUAAUGAAUAAAUGAGUGACAGUGCAUGUAAACAGACUAGCUUAAUUAAUAUUAAUAUGAUUAGGAUGGGCUGGGCCCAGUGGCUCAUGCCUAUAAUCCUAGCACUUUGGGAGGUCAAGGAGGGAGGAUCACUUGGGCCCAGGAGUUCAAGGCCAGCCUGGGCAACAUAGCGGGACGCUGUCUGUACAAAAAAUAAUUUUUUUAAAUAAACGAUAUUAUGAGGAUGGUC